rnacentral:rRNA from 1 species
ACAUGCAAGUCGAGCGCGGGAAGCAAGCAGAACCCUUCGGGGGUGACGCAUGUGGAACGAGCGGCGGACGGGUGAGUAACACGUGGGCAACCUGCCUGUAAGACUGGGAUAACUCCGGGAAACCGGGGCUAAUACCGGAUAAUACGUUUUCUUGCAUAAGGAGACGUUAAAAGGCGGCGCAAGCUGUCACUUACAGAUGGGCCCGCGGCGCAUUAGCUAGUUGGUGGGGUAACAGCCUACCAAGGCGACGAUGCGUAGCCGACCUGAGAGGGUGAUCGGCCACACUGGGACUGAGACACGGCCCAGACUCCUACGGGAGGCAGCAGUAGGGAAUCUUCCGCAAUGGACGAAAGUCUGACGGAGCAACGCCGCGUGAGUGAAGAAGGUUUUCGGAUCGUAAAACUCUGUUGUUAGGGAAGAACAAGUGCCGUUCAAAUAGGGCGGCACCUUGACGGUACCUAACCAGAAAGCCCCGGCUAACUACGUGCCAGCAGCCGCGGUAAUACGUAGGGGGCAAGCGUUGUCCGGAAUUAUUGGGCGUAAAGCGCGCGCAGGCGGUCUUUUAAGUCUGAUGUGAAAGCCCACGGCUUAACCGUGGAGGGCCAUUGGAAACUGGAGGACUUGAGUACAGAAGAGGAGAGUGGAAUUCCACGUGUAGCGGUGAAAUGCGUAGAGAUGUGGAGGAACACCAGUGGCGAAGGCGACUCUCUGGUCUGUAACUGACGCUGAGGUGCGAAAGCGUGGGUAG